rnacentral:misc_RNA from 1 species
GAAAGCGCAGGAGAAGGGCAGCGCCGUCAAUCCUGCAAGAGCACACAGGCACACACGCACAUCUCGCCAUUACUCAUGUCGGUGUUCCCCGGCCUGUGUGGCGAUGUGGCGACAACGAACUACCGUGUCUUUUUGGGCACGUUGCCGAACCUCGCCGUUGAAGAGCGCUUUUUGCGUCAGGUGCAGCCAGUGUUUCCGUGGUACGCGUCACGCAAGCACGUGAAGGAGCAGGCCAGCGAGUUUCUUGAGAUCGACCUCGCUUCCUGUGACCCGGAGCUGCUGCUGCGCUACACCCAUGUCUACUACGUGAGACGGCAGCUGUACGACGAGCUGGUGGAUCGACAGCUGACACUGAUGGAGACUGGCAAGGCGGCCAAGGUGGCCGACAGUGCACUGCUCACGUGCCUUGCGCAGGUGAAUGCGGCCAUCACGCCUCGCUUGCAAUACGAGCUGCACCUUCUGCAGCAGGCCAAGAAGGCGUGUCGGGUGCCGCGGCGUCGUGAGCUGAACCCUGACGCCGCUCUCGAGGCACAUGACUACCUGUGCAUGAUGCGUGUUGUGGAAGAGGACGUGGCUGGGGUACCGGAUGCGGAAAUGCAAGCCCGCGCGUACCUGCCGCGCGAGGUGCUGGAGGCAAAGGUAAAGGAGCUGGCGGCCAUGGUCUUUGGCGACGGCGGCUCUGCCACGAAGGGCACAGGUGCAGCGCUGGAGAGGAAAGAACAGAAGCUACUGCAGCGCAUGAUCCCGGCCGACUACAACAAGGUAGGCGCCGUGGAAAAGCUCCGUCCUGUCGACGUCACAGCCCUGUAUCGCUUCACCGGCGAGCGGGUGUGUGGGUGGCCAGCAGACAAGCCGUUCUCGCGCGCGCUGUGGGGGCACGUCUUCCGGAAGGUGGGGUCGCACCCCCUGUACCUGCAGCGGGCCUCCCUCUACUGGGCACGGCACAGCGGUCUUGACCCGCAGUCGGCUACCUCGACGAUGCCAGCCGACCUCGCGACUGCGGUGUGUGUGCAGCAAACGCUGUUCCCCGCCCUGAAGUACCGCUGCCAGUAUUUGUACACCUCCCCGGAUAUAGCGCGACAGCAGUGGCGCACAGGCCAUGUCGUGCCGCUGUUGCGCCUGUUUCCUCUCCUUGGGGCCCCUGCCGCCGAGGACCUCGCUGCUCAGCUGGUCGUCGAGGGCGAGUGGGCCAAGCUAGGCAUCGAGGCGGACACCAACCUGCUGCAGGACACGGUGCUGCGGCAGCUGAAGGAUAUGGUUGAGCAGGUGAGCGCGUUGUAUGAGAGCGACGCCGGCGCGGUGCUGAAGCGUGUGGAGGAUGGGGCGAAGGUAUUCUGCCCGUCUCUCUCGGAGCGGGAGUCGCUAACCAUGCGUGGCGUACCCGAAGACACUAGCAGAGAGGUAUCCGCAGCUGCUGCUGCAAGGGCGGCGAACGCGGCGCCAGCGUAAGGAUGCGUGAGGGUUGAGCAGGGAUGGUGCGCAGUCACACCCAUGCGCGCCGCUGAGAAGAGACAGCGGAAAGAAGUUGAGCGCGCGUGAAUCGGGGUGUUGUUGAGGACUUUGUUGUAUGUAUCCCGCGGCGAUGGGUUGACGCGUCCGCAGGUGAGGCGAGCGCUCGCUGAUUGCUGAUUGCGCUUUCACACAAAGGGAGGUCCACACGCCUACAUGCGGGUGGCGCGCGCAGCCGCUGUGGCAGCCUCCCUUCCUCCCUCCCCCUCCCUCCGUCUAGGGCAUGGGUACAGACGGAAAGAGAAAUAAGAGACAAGCUGCGUGCAUGUGGCACACACGAAAACUCAUGCACAAAUAAACACGCGAGAGCGCGAAGAUGGCUGAAUCAGUUGCGUUGGAAAGGGGCGAGGAGAAGGCGACCAUCUGUGCCCUCGUCGGCUUCUCAUCGUGGGCCGUGCUUCUGUAGCUGUGGUUUCGUUUUUUCUGAACUUCGAGCAGGCUUCAUAUGGACGUGGACGACCUUCUCUCUUUCUCUCUCUCCUGCCUGCCACCAUUGCGCCCUUGCGCACUUCCUCCUUCCUCUUCAAUGCCUUCACUAUUACGAUGGUCUCUCCUUCGCCUCUUUUCUGGUCAUUAUCGGGUGGCGCACCCGCUGUCAG